rnacentral:ribozyme from 1 species
ACUCCUCUGAGGGAGUAUAAAUAGUCCUUAGGCUCAGAGCGUUACAUUUAUGUAGGUGGAA